ACAUUGUGACACAACAAUUUCUAUUUUGCAUGCAUAUUUUAUUUGUUUCUCCUCUUAUCUACCUUUUGUCCCAUUGUAUAAUUUUUCUAGGAUUGAAAAGCAGGAGUGACAAGAUGGACAAGGCAAAUGAGUUUGUCCUGUAGUGUCCAAACUUUUGCAAGGGGAAAUUGUCUUUAGAGGAUGGUGCCAGUGCCUGGUGCAGACAGUGUGGGAGAGCUGGAAAGAGCUGGAAGGAACAAGGAUAAGCAGCUUUUUCCAUCACUUGGAAGAAGAUCAUCUUGGGAAAAAAGUCACUCCAUCAGGCAGUGAAUUAUCUCAGCUGCUAAAGGUUUCAAAGUUUCAAGGCCACUCUUACCAAGCAGUGGCAGAGGCGCAUUUGGGGAGCAGCACGGAGACGAUCCAUCAUUGAUGACAAAUCCAAGUUUUCCUGUUAGGAUGUGCAGGAGUGCAUGGCAGACAUCUGUUCUCCGUGCCACAGCAGCAGCCACCACUUGUUCUCUCAGCUCUUUAGAGGAGUAAUCUGCCAGAACCUGAGCGGAAUUACCUGGGGCACGGUCACGUUAGUGCACGUAAUCUGGGGAAGAAUGGUUCUCUGAACAGAUGAAUUCAUAAAUUAUGGAUUUUUGACAUCUAGAUGCAUCACAGGAACCCUGUAAUCAGGCACUUUUUGAAGUACAGUGCACUCAGAACACUCUCAGACCUUGCAGAUGUGAUUAAACCAGCGUGCCCUGUGCUACUCCAGUGAAUUCCAAAAUUCCAGCCUUCCCACACUGCUUUUCUCAACAUUUAACUUCCACCACUCUCCUGCUUCCAUGAAUCCACCUGAGCUGCUGCUGUGUCACUGAAGAAGGUUGGGUUUGUCUCCAGGACGGGAGCUGUGGAUGCCACCUGUGACCCCGCGGCCGAUGACACACGCGCGGGAUCCGUCCACUCCUCGAAAUUCUGCGUCCACACAAAAGCCCAGCCUGGUCUGGAGAGGCUUCCAAGCAGCUCAGGAUUUUUCAGAGUUUCCAUUAAAGGUUCAAGGGAUCACCCUGAGCAGUUUCAGACCAUAACCAGAACAACAUGCAGCUUUGGGGCUGACCCAACCCGGACAGGCAGUUCUGGACAGGAUUCUGCUAGAUUUCAGGAGAAUGCUGCAAUAGAAAUUCAGGGUUUUGUCCAUUUUGCUGGAUGAAAAGGGAAGGGCUCAAACAGCAUCCUCUGAUCUGAACUGGCUGGGUGUGAACACGUGGGAAAAAGAAAAUGGGAAUUUUUCCACUGCCACAAAAAGCUGGGAUUGAGUUUUUUCCACUUAAAGGCUGUUUUAAUUAGGACUUGAGUGUCAGAAAUAUCUUUAAAAUUAUCCUAAACAAAAAAUAAAACCCUCUUUUAAUCCCA
rnacentral:lncRNA from 1 species